AAAGCGCGCGUAGGUGGUUUGUUAAGUUGGAUGUGAAAUCCCCGGGCUCAACCUGGGAACUGCAUUCAAAACUGACUGACUAGAGUAAGGUAGAGGGUGGUGGAAUUUCCUGUGUAGCGGUGAAAUGCGUAGAUAUAGGAAGGAACACCAGUGGCGAAGGCGACCACCUGGACUAAUACUGACACUGAGGUGCGAAAGCGUGGGGAGCAAACAGGAUUAGAUACCCGAGU
rnacentral:rRNA from 1 species